rnacentral:rRNA from 1 species
UACGUAGGGGGCAAGCGUUGUCCGGAUUUAUUGGGCGUAAAGAGCGUGUAGGCGGCCAUACAGGUCAGCUGUGAAAACUCGAGGCUCAACCUCGAGACGUCGGUUGAAACCGUAUGGCUAGAGUCCGGAAGAGGAGAGUGGAAUUCCCGGUGUAGCGGUGGAAUGCGCAGAUAUCAGGAGGAACACCGGUGGCGAAGGCGGGUCUCUGGGCAGUAACUGACGCUGAGGAGCGAAAGCGUGGGGAGCGAACAGG